rnacentral:lncRNA from 1 species
CGCUCUGAUACCAAAAUUGUGACACCCGUCACUUUCGAAAUAAUAAAAACAAUUCGAUAAAUAAUAGUUUAUGAAAUCUCCAUUUAUAAAUAUAAAAGUCAAUACAAUAUCACAAGGCCUAAAGGCCCAAUAACGAUAACAUUCGAAAUAUAAAGUACGACAUAAACCGAAAGUCCGAAAUACGAGAUAACAUAAACGAUAGAUAGGAGCCCAAAGGCCCAAAAGCGAUAAAACGAUAAAAGGGAUAGAAGUCCAAAGCUCGAUAGUAGUAAAAGCCCAAAAGCACCGGUCCGGUAUAAUCACUCCUGCUCAUCGGUCUCACCU